UAUUAAGUAUCUUAAACUUAAAGUAAUGAUUUUUUAAAUCAUUUAUAGUAAAAUUUACUCUUAAUAA
rnacentral:tRNA from 1 species